GGGAUUGCCCCAGUAACGGCGAGUGAAGCGGCAACAGCUCAAAUUUGAAAUCUGGCCCCCCCCGCGGGCCCGAGUUGUAAUUUGCAGAGGAUGCUUUUGGCGCGGCGCCUUCCGAGUGCCCUGGAACGGGACGCCAUAGAGGGUGAGAGCCCCGUCUGGUCGGACGCCCAGCCUCUGUAAAGCUCCUUCGACGAGUCGAGUAGUUUGGGAAUGCUGCUCUAAACGGGAGGUAUAUGUCUUCUAAAGCUAAAUACCGGCCAGAGACCGAUAGCGCACAAGUAGAGUGAUCGAAAGAUGAAAAGCACUUUGAAAAGAGGGUUAAACAGUACGUGAAAUUGUUGAAAGGGAAGCGCUUGUGACCAGACUCGGGCGCGGCGAAUCACCCGGCGUUCUCGCCGGUGCACUUCGACGCGCCCGGGCCAGCAUCAGCUCGCCGCGGGGGACAAAGGCGCCGGGAACGUGGCUCCCCAGGGAGUGUUAUAGCCCGGCGCGCAACGCCCCGCGGCGGACCGAGGUUCGCGCGUCCGCAAGGAUGCUGGCGUAAUGGUCACCAGUGACCCGUCUUGAAACACGGACCAAGGAGUCGUCCUCGUAUGCGAGUGUUCGGGUGUCAAACCCCUACGCGCAAUGAAAGUGAACGCGGGUGAGAGCCUCGCGGCGCAUCAUCGACCGAUCCUGAUGUUCUCGGAUGGAUUUGAGUAGGAGCAUACGGGGCCGGACCCGAAAGAAGGUGAACUAUGCCUGUGUAGGGUGAAGCCAGAGGAAACUCUGGUGGAGGCUCGCAGCGGUUCUGACGUGCAAAUCGAUCGUCAAACAUGGGCAUGGGG
rnacentral:rRNA from 1 species